AGGCAGCAGUGGGGAAUUUUGGACAAUGGGCGCAAGCCUGAUCCAGCAAUGCCGCGUGCAGGAUGAAGGCCUUCGGGUUGUAAACUGCUUUUGUACGGAACGAAACGGCCUUUUUUAAUACAAAGGGCUAAUGACGGUACCGUAAGAAUAAGCACCGGCUAACUACGUGCCAGCAGCCGCGGUAAUACGUAGGGUGCGAGCGUUAAUCGGAAUUACUGGGCGUAAAGCGUGCGCAGGCGGUUAUGUAAGACAGAUGUGAAAUCCCCGGGCUCAACCUGGGACCUGCAUUUGUGACUGCAUAGCUAGAGUACGGUAGAGGGGGAUGGAAUUCCGCGUGUAGCAGUGAAAUGCGUAGAUAUGCGGAGGAACACCGAUGGCGAAGGCAAUCCCCUGGACCUGUACUGACGCUCAUGCACGAAAGCGUGGGGAGCAAACAGGAUUAGAUACCCUGGUAG
rnacentral:rRNA from 1 species